AUCUGAUAAAUCAAAUAAAUAAUGCAUUGAAAUGAUACAGAGAAGAUUAGCAUGGCUCCUGCACAAGAAUGACAUGCAAAUUUAUGAAGAGUUCCAUAUUAUU